rnacentral:misc_RNA from 1 species
UCCGGUUUGUCACCGGCAGUCUCGCAUGAGUCCCCAACUGAAUGCUGGCAACAUACGACGAGGGUUGCGCUCGUUGCGGGACUUAACCCAACAUCUCACGACACGAGCUGACGACAGCCAUGCACCACCUGUGAUGGUGUCCCGAAGGAAAGGUGUGUUUCCACACCGGUUUCACCCUGCAUGUCAAGCCCUGGUAAGGUUCUUCGCGUUGCGUCGAAUUAAACCACAUACUCCACCGCUUGUGCGGGCCCCCGUCAAUUCCUUUGAGUUUCAGUCUUGCGACCGUACUCCCCAGGCGGCGAACUUAACGCGUUAGCUUCGAUACUGCGUGCCAAAUUGCACCCAACAUCCAGUUCGCAUCGUUUAGGGCGUGGACUAC